ensembl:snRNA U6 U6 spliceosomal RNA
GCUAAACAGAGACAAGCUUGUGCUGUAUUUGGUUAUGAUACAGGAAAGAUUAGUAUAGCCCUUGUAUAAGAAUGAUAUACGUAUUUGAGAAGUGCUUCAUAUUUAU